rnacentral:rRNA from 1 species
CAAGCGUGAGGUAAGAGCAUUUGGUGGAUGCCUUGGCAUGUACAGGCGAAGAAGGACGUGGCACGCUGCGAUAAGCGUCGGGGAGUUGUGAGCAAACUUUGAUCCGGCGAUUUCCGAAUGGGGGAACCCACCUUCACCAUUUCUCUCGUGUCUCGAGCAAUCGAGGUGUGAGUGAGGUGGAACAGGUAUCACCGAAGUGAAUAUAUAGCUUUGGUGAAGCGAACCCAGGGAACUGAAACAUCUCAGUACCUGGAGGAAAAGACAUCAACAGAGAUUCCCGUAGUAGUGGCGAGCGAACCGGGACCAGGCCAGUGCUUCUUUAUUAGUUAGCAGAACACUUUGGAAAGAGUGGCCAUAGCGGGUGACAGCCCCGUAUGCGAAAGCAAGUAAAGAAGACUCGAGUAGGGCGGGACACGUGAAAUCCUGUCUGAACAUGGGGGGACCACCCUCCAAGCCUAAAUACUCGUACAUGACCGAUAGCGAACAAGUACCGUGAGGGAAAGGUGAAAAGCACCCCGAUUAGGGGAGUGAAACAGUACCUGAAACCGAAUGCUUACAAGCAGUUGGAGCUUCUUUAGGAAGUGACAGCGUACCUCUUGCAUAAUGGGUCAGUGACUUAAUGUAUCAUGCGAGCUUAAGCCGUUAGGUGUAGGCGCAGCGAAAGCGAGUCUGAAUAGGGCGACUGAGUAUGAUGCAUUAGACCCGAAACCCGGCGAUCUAGGCAUGGCCAGGUUGAAGGUGCGGUAACACGCACUGGAGGACCGAACCGGUGAAUGUUGAAAAAUUCUCGGAUGAGCUGUGUUUAGGGGUGAAAGGCCAAUCAAGCCGGGAAAUAGCUGGUUCUCCGCGAAAUCUAUUGAGGUAGAGCGUCGGAUGUAUGCCGAUGGGGGUAGAGCACUGGAUGGGCUAGGGGGUCGCGAGAUCUACCAAACCUAACCAAACUCCGAAUACCAUCGAGUCUUAUCCGGCAGACAGACGGCGGGUGCUAAGGUCCGUCGUCAAAAGGGAAACAGCCCUAACCUACAGCUAAGGUCCCCAAGUCAUCACUAAGUGGGAAAGCAUGUGGAAAUCCCAAAACAACCAGGAGGUUGGCUUAGAAGCAGCCAUCCUUUAAAGAAAGCGUAACAGCUCACUGGUCUAAACAAGGGUUUCUGCGGCGAAAAUGUAUCGGGGCUAAAGUGAUGCACCGAAGCUUAGGGUUCAGUCUUUGACUGAGCGGUAGCGGAGCGUUCCGUAAGCGAGUGAAGCGGGAGGGUAACCGACCGUGGACGUAUCGGAAGCGAGAAUGCUGACAUGAGUAGCGACAAAGAGGGUGAGAUGCCCUCUCGCCGAAAGACCAAGGGUUCCUGCGCAACGCUAAUCGGCGCAGGGUGAGCCGGCCCCUAAGACGAGCCCGAAGGGGGUAGUCGAUGGGAACCACGUUAAUAUUCGUGGGCCUGGUGGUGUGUGACGGAUCGCGUAAAUUGUUCAUCCUUAUCGGAUUGGUUGGGCAGUGAAGCGGUUCCAGGAAAUAGCCCCACCGUAUAGACCGUACCCGAAACCGACACAGGUGGUCAGGUAGAGUAUACCAAGGCGCUUGAGAGAAGUAUCCUGAAGGAACUCGGCAAAUUGCCUCCGUACCUUCGGAAGAAGGAGGCCCCAUCUUAAGGCAACUUUUGAUGGGGGGCACAGGCCAGGGGGUAGCGACUGUUUAGCAAAAACACAGGGCUCUGCUAAGUCGGCUUCAAGACGACGUAUAGGGCCUGACGCCUGCCCGGUGCCGGAAGGUUAAGAGGAGGAGUGCAAGCUCCGAAUUGAAGCCCCGGUAAACGGCGGCCGUAACUAUAACGGUCCUAAGGUAGCGAAAUUCCUUGUCGGGUAAGUUCCGACCUGCACGAAUGGCGUAACGACUUCCCCACUGUCUCCAGGAUAUGCUCAGCGAAAUUG